UUCCUACGGGAGGCAGCAGUGGGGAAUAUUGCACAAUGGGCGCAAGCCUGAUGCAGCGAUGCCGCGUGAGGGAAGAAGGUUUUCGGAUUGUAAACCUCUGUGGACAGGGACGAUAAUGACGGUACCUGUCAAGAAAGCCACGGCUAACUACGUGCCAGCAGCCGCGGUAAUACGUAGGUGGCGAGCGUUGUCCGGAAUUACUGGGUGUAAAGGGAGUGUAGGCGGGAAGGCAAGUCAGAAGUGAAAAUUAUGGGCUCAACCCAUAAACUGCUUUUGAAACUGUUUUUCUUGAGUGAAGCAGAGGG
rnacentral:rRNA from 1 species